AAUUUUGCUUCUUAGGGGUUCUGGAGUGGGAUGUUCUCACACAUGCUCCGUGGCAGAGCAAGUACUUUGCUUGCAGGAGAUGCUGGGUUCAGUUCCUGGCACCUCCAGGCAGGGCUAGGAAAGAUUCCCUGUCUGAAAUCCUGGAGAGAUGCUGCCAGCCAGUAUAGGCAGGACUGAGCAAGAUGCACCAACCGUCUGAUUCAGUAUCAGGCAGCUUCCCACGUUCCUAUGACAGUCUUUACUUCUGGGAAAUGCAUCAUAUUGCAAGAACAACACCUAGCGGCGACAUUUCCCCUCGGCUCCCAGGCCGGCCCCCAAUGAUUUAACAGUGGGCUGGGUUCUGGCAUCCGGAGCUACUGCGAAACAAUUCAAAUUUUGCUUCAGGUGCUUGUUUGUUUGUGGAGAGAGGGGUGCCAUUUUAGUCAGGGACUUGGGGCCAUGGUUUGGCGGUGAGCUGAAUCCCAAGCAAAAACAGCAUCCCUGAGGAGUCAAGUCUUUCCUCUCUUCUGGCGCAGUAUCCUGUGCAUAGCUUUCCCCCUUUCCCAUGCUUGGAGUGGGAGAUCAAACAGCUCCACAUCUCUCCUCACCUCCUUUUCCUUGCCCCCAGAGAAGGACAUAGCAGCUUCUCAGCUGCAGAAGCCCAUCCUUGCCAUGGUUAGGCCACAGUUCAAGGCACUCUGCAACCCUUCACCACAAGCAGACGCCAUUUUGAAUGCCAUGAGGGGCUGCGGCCUUCUUUGACCACAGUUUCACAGCCACUAGGUCCAUUGCUUUUCCAGCAGCCACCAACUGGCAAAUAAGUGCAAACCAAGAGCUCCAAGUACCUGUGUACACCUUACAGACAGAGGGAAAGCCAGUUGGACACCUGCUCCAAAAUGAGGCUUCUUCAUUCACUUCUGCUACUACAGAAGUAGUGUCUGCUAAAGAGAUACUAAUUAGAUCUUCCUGAUCUGUGAGCUGAUUCUUCAUAUUUUGGGUCUAUUCUGGAGGGUUAUUUUAAGGGUAAAAGGGAGACCACAUCCUGAAGUGCACAGAGGAAGAGGACAAUAAAGAUGCUUUAAACAAUCCAUUUUCAUGUUGCUGUAGUUGCUUCUG